rnacentral:lncRNA from 1 species
CAAGCCGUCUAGGAGGUGGCAACCUCCAAGAGUAACAAGCACCACCGGCUUGCAACACGAACACCUAGUGUCACUCGAUGCAAUCUCUCAAUGCAACGCACUAGAAUCGCUCACUCACACAAUCGGAUGAUCACUAUCAAGCAUAUGUGAGUUAGAGGCCUCACUAGCACUCCCCAAGCAUGGACACUAAGUUCCAAGGGUGCUCAGCACCAGCCAAGGCCGGCCACCACUUCUAUUUAUAGCCCCAAGGGCUAA